rnacentral:rRNA from 1 species
AUGUCGUGCUCUGGUGCCGCGGGAGCAGCACUGGGCGCCGCGCCUGCUCCCUGCGGCACACCAUUAGCGGACGGAGGGAGGAGCUCCCGGCCCCAGCGCUGUUGCGGCGCUUGCGAGGCAGCUCGCCGUCGCGGCCGCCAAGCCCCCCCUCGGCCACCCCUCGCGCCACACGCACACGACACCGGGGCUCUAUUCCGGUGGCUAUGCUCGCCUCAAAAUUAUGCUGGAGGGAAGGCGAUUUGUCGGCGGAGAAGUGGAAAUACGGCGAAGGAUAAGAGCAUCUCUAGCAGGCACCUUAAAACGUGGACCUGUAAACUGAGUUUACAGUUCGCAGAAUGCGUCGGAUAUGGGCCGAAAACAGCAGCGGCAGAACAAAAACGUCAAAUGAACCUAUAA